GAUUACGCUGGGACACUUUCAGAGUAAGUCCCAAAGAUACAUGGUGCAAGAAAAUACUGACAUCAUACUCAGUUGUGAUUCUUUGCUUUCUCUUUCUAAGAGAAUUUUAGCUGCAUGUUGGAUGGAAAACUGUACAAAACAAGGGAGACAGAGGAAAAACACCACUUGUUAAUAUUCUCCGCUAGAUUCUGCUGAGGAAUCACUUGAUUUUACAGAUGCACCUAGCUUAAGUAGAGUUAAAAGUCAUGUAGCUACAAAGCUGACUUGCACACUAAAAGCUAAUUAAGGGAAAUGCAGCUUUCCUAGGGUAGGUUCUUGGCACUUCUAUGCAAAUAGGUAAAAGGGAAUGGCAGAUAUUCAAGCUUAGGGAACAAGCAGCAAGGACAGAGUCUUCCCCGUCUCUGUGUUGAAGUCAGCAGAUAGUACACCUGCUGCUGCUUGAGUUCCUUCUGCCAAGCAGAGUAGCACAGCUGCAAGACACUCUGCUUCUGGCUCUGAGCUUUGCCUGUCUUCAAGGAUGGAGCCCCUCCCAAGGCAAGUUCAACCGGGUUCUUUGGCAGCCGAAGUCUACACGGACCCUGCAGGGAGUAGAGGAGAAAAUAUCUCAUCAAAUAAGGAAGACUUUAUGAGCAGAAAAUUAUCAAAAUGCUGAACAUACUGCACUGAAGAAGCAAAACCCAAAGGUGUUCAAAAAGAAUAAUUUGUGGUGUAGAAAGAAAAGAAGAGACUUUGGAAUAAAGCAGACCUGGGCACCACUUAUUGACACCUUCAACUUCCACAGACUUCUGAAUCUCCCCAAACAUCUGUUUUUUCACUUUUGAAAUGACAGAAAUUCAAGGGAUGUUGGGAAGUGAAAUAUCUACAAGACUCACCAAGUAUAUUGAUCUUGAGGUGAGGACUCACCCCUCACUGGGAGAAAUAGUUAGGAAAGCAAUAUGUAAAAACAAAGUCAUGAAUCUGACAAGAAAUGUACUUAAGAGAAAAGACCAUGUGAGGACACAGUAAGAAGGAGGCCAUAUGCAAAGCAGAAAGGAAGACCUCACCAGAACCAAAAACCAACCCUGCUGGCACCCUCAUCUUGGACUUCUAGCCUUUCUCAGAACUGUGAGAAAAUAAAUUUCUGGUGUUUCAGUCA